AUUGAACGCUGGCGGCAUGCCUUACACAUGCAAGUCGAACGGCAGCACGGGAGCAAUCCUGGUGGCGAGUGGCGAACGGGUGAGUAAUAUAUCGGAACGUGCCCAGUAUGGGGGAUAGCCCGGCGAAAGCCGGAUUAAUACCGCAUGAGACCUGAGGGUGAAAGCGGGGGAUCGCAAGACCUCGCGCUAUUGGAGCGGCCGAUAUCAGAUUAGCUAGUUGGUGGGGUAAAGGCCUACCAAGGCAACGAUCUGUAGUUGGUCUGAGAGGACGACCAGCCACACUGGGACUGAGACACGGUCCAGACUCCUACGGGAGGCAGCAGUGGGGAAUUUUGGGACAAUGGGGGGCAACCCUGAUCCAGCAAUGCCGCGUGUGUGAAGAAGGCCUUCGGGUUGUAAGCACUUU
rnacentral:rRNA from 1 species